rnacentral:lncRNA from 1 species
AUGUACGCAGCACUUAGAAUAUCUGGAAGCAAGUUGAACCCCUAUUUCUGGGCUCCUUCCCUGGUCUAUGCUCAUGGUCAGCUUUUGGCUUCAGCCCACGUCCUGGGUUUUCUACUCUGGCACGAGUCCCGCUCUUCCCAAACAUGCCUUCCUGCUCUUCUCCCACUGGACACAGCCGAUCUGACAGACACGGACUCCCAUGGGUGAUUCCUGCUCUCAGCCUCUCUCCUGACUUCCGGCCUGAAGAAGCCUGAAGGCAGAACGUUAUGCGCAUGUCUGUAAUACCUGCUGGUUCUAUGGGUGAUCC